UACGGGGGGGGCAAGCGUUUAUUCGGAAUUAUUGGGCGUAAAGGGCGCGUAGGCGGCUUGGCAAGUGGAAGGUGAAAUCCCUCGGCUUAACCGAGGAACUGCCCUCCAAAACUGCUUUGCUUGAGGCCGGGAGAGGUGAGUGGAAUUCCCAGUGUAGCGGUGAAAUGCGUAGAUAUUGGGAGGAACACCAGUGGCGAAGGCGGCUCACUGGACCGGUUCUGACGCUGAUGCGCGAAAAGCGUGGGGGAGCAAAACGGGG
rnacentral:rRNA from 1 species